ACGUAGGGUGCAAGCGUUAUCCGGAUUUAUUGGGCGUAAAGAGCUCGUAGGCGGUUUGUCGCGUCUGGUGUGAAAGUCCGCAGCUUAACUGCGGAUCUGCGCCGGAUACGGGCAGGCUUGAGUGCAGUAGGGGAGACUGGAAUUCCCGGUGUAACGGUGGAAUGUGUAGAUAUCGGGAAGAACACCAAUGGCGAAGGCAGGUCUCUGGGCUGUUACUGACGCUGAGGAGCGAAAGCGUGGGGAGCGAACAGG
rnacentral:rRNA from 1 species